GCUGAUGACGAUGGUGUUUGAGUAGCUCAGGCAUAAAGAGACGAAGGUUGAACCAGACUAGGGGUCUUGGGAAUGGGAAUGGAAGGACGGUGAAGGACUCUGUGGCAAGAGCUUGAGGGAAGGGGUGAAGGCAAGGGUGUGAAUUGGGCCUUUCUGUUCCAGAUCAGCAGCAGCACCAGAGACCAGCGUUGAGAGACACGCGCUCCAAACUGUGGGUCUGACACAUGCUCAGUUGUAGCCCUGAUUCAGCACUGGAGGCCACGCGCUGGGCCACCGGGCUUGCCAGCUUCUCCUCAUGCAGAGCCGGUGUUGCACGAGGCAGGACUGAUGGUGCAAGCCGCUCUCCCCGUGUCAGCCUUGCGGGGUCCGCCGGUCAGAGUGUAGCCAGGGAGACGAAAAAUUGAGUGAAUGCUGGCUUCGACUUGUGCUGUGUGGCCAUUAGGACACACUUAAGGAGCCACUAGGAAAUGGAUUGCAUCUGUGUCCUGACGGAGCUGUCUGCCCUUGACAGGCCCAGGUAGGUGUGGGAGGUCACCACCGGAAACGUCCAAACAGAAAGUGGACCUCACUCGUGGCACAUGGUGGGGGGAGCAGGUGUAAGCACUGGAUUGGAUAGGCUGUAGGACCCCUGGGGCUCCUUUUAAACCUGACACUCCAUGAUUCCAUGACUUUCCUACCACAACUUGGGUUACUUAGCAGGUGUAGUCUGUUUUCUUUUCUUGCUUAGAACUUGGGAGAGAAGAAUGAAUUUGUUCUCAUUUGUUAACUAAGCAGCUCCCUUCACUUUUGAUCAGGUAGGUUUCAAAGGUCAGGACGGGGCAUGUAUGUAUAUAUGUUUGUAUCACUCUGUGACCCAGUGAGUUCUGGAAAGUGGUGCAACAGGUCAGUCACCAGACUUGGGUGGCUUGGGUCCUACACAACCUCCACCUCAGAUUAGAUUAGACAUUGCUGUAAGGACCUUCAUAAAACUUUGUGCUUCCCCAUCACCCUGAACCCUAAUUGCUUUUAGAUCAUGAAUGGAUACUCUUCUUUGCUAUAAAUUCUAUGAGUGUGGAGACUAUAUUUUUCUUGGUUAGCACUGUAUCUCCACCUAAAAUCUUGUAUGUACCUGGCACAUGGACAAUACUUAAUAAAUGUCUGAUAAGUAGAUGAGUGGAUGGAUGGAUGGAUGGAUGGAGUACUACAUCUCCACUAUAGUCAAAUGCUUAAUAGAUUUGGGCAUUAGGAUAGGCACCUUUUGUUUUCAAAUGAGUAGAACAUAGUUCCCUUUUCAAGAAUUAAAUAUGAACAUGAAAUUAGUCGAGAGUCCAAGUAUUUUAGAAAUACUCUUACCUGAGGCAUAGUCCCUUUGAGGAACACUUGGAGGUGCUUUGACUUUCAGCCUAUAGAUAACAACCAUUAGACAAAUGGUCAGUGGGUAGGACAACUGUUGUCAAGGCCCAUAAUAUAAGCAAAUAUAGAGAUAACAGACAGAUAACUAAUAGAAUAAUGGCUUCUUUUGGACCCAUCACAUUGAAAGACUAAAUGUAUUAUAAAUGUAGUGAAGCCAUUGAUCAGAGGUCUCCUAGCUCCCUCAUCUCCCCAGUGUACAACGGGGCUGUGACUUGGCAAAGGUGAAGUCAGGUGCUGGAAUAGUCACCUGAGUUCAGAGCUUCAGGGAAGAAAAUUGUUAAUUGGUUGAUAAGAUGGUAAUAGAGGAUGAACUCUGUUUUAAUAAAUAACUCAAUGCAGGACGCCUGGGUGGCUCAGUCAGUCAAGCGUCUGACUCUUGGUUUCUACUGUGGUCACGACCUCACGGUUUUGUGAGUUCGAGCCCCGCAUGGGGCUCUGUGCUGGCGACGCGGAGCCUUGCUUGGGAUUCUCUCUCUCUCUCUCUGCCCCUCCCCGACUCAUGCUGUCUCUGUCUCUCUCAAAAAUAAACUUAAAAGAAAUAACUUAAUACCUCAAUGCUUUAAACAACAAGAAAAAUAUUAGUUAUAAUGAACACUUUGGUUGUAGGUUGGACUGACACUGUUUUUGCACUAUUUAAAAAAAAAAAAAAGCCA